ensembl:lncRNA
AUGAGGUUAGGGAAAAGCGAUCCCUUAGAACCACCGCCGCGCUGCAAUCCAAACCUCACUCCUCUUGUACUGCUGGUAAACACAAAUAGCCUUGUGUUUUUAUGUGCCAAGGGCGUUUGCUUGAAUAGUUCGGCAUACAAAAUCCCAGCCAAAGCCCUGUGGGUGCGCCCUGCUCAUAAACUCCGCUGUGUGUCCAGAGGUGUUUACAUGGUCAGUAUUGGAGGACACUGUGGGCAGUUUUGUUGGUAAAGCUGAUGACGAUGUCCGACUUCAAAGCACAUCUCUGGAAAGUCUGUUUUUCGGAGGUAUGUGAAGGCACUGAGUGGUUUGCAAGGGUUUCUGGGUUUUUCUUCCAGAGGAAAUGGCCAUACUGUGCUGGGAUGUGUCUUUCAGGUGGCUUGUAUGAGUGGCGGUGAGGCCUUCUCUACCUCUCCCAUGAGUAUUUUUCUGCUUGCAAGCCGAGAGGCCCCAACACAGAAAACAUAUUAGACAGGCAAGUCCCAAAAGUAUCCCCCCCCGCUUCUCUUCCUCUCUCUUUCAUUUCUAGCCUCUUUUACACCAUCGGUCUCUGUCUGUCUUCUCUCUUGAGAGUUAUUUAUACAAGGUGUGAUGUUAUUGGGGCUGUUACCCGAGCCACCCCGACACACUCCUUUAAAAACACAAAAAGUGAUAGAGAUGCAGCACUUUUUGUCGUCACUUAGAGGCUGACCUUUGACCCGUGCUCAGAACCGACUGUUUUCCACACUAAUGCAUCCCUGCUUUUAAUAUGGCUUGUUAAAAUGCCCUCUUUUUUACUUUCCCCCCAUAUUUUUACACCCCUUUUCCUCCUCUGCAGAAAGAGGUAUCAGCCAACACCUGACAUUGCCUUUGCAGAACCAGCUACAGGAAAGAGAGGAGGUCACACGCUCAUCAGAUUCUGACCUCGCAGAGACGCUGAGACAAUCCAGACCUGUUAGGGAUGAAGAAGGAGAAAGUCAUUUCCUUCUCUUACAGACCAAAAAAAAAAAAAAAAAUUAUGAUGCUUUCCGUCUGCACAGAAAACAGAACUGAUUCCUUUUUAU